rnacentral:lncRNA from 1 species
AAAUCUGUUGGACUAUCCUAAUAAAUGAUGGAGGAACCAAAAAUUAAAACCCAGCCGCCUGGCUGUUGGGUUCUUCAAUAGAAUAUGAAUUAAAAAUGUGUAAACAUUUAUUAACUAAAGUUUAGGAAGUUUAAACAAUUUUUUUUUAAUAGUUUCAAAAAGACUUAUUCCGUUUAAAGUAAAUUAAAAAAAAAAGAAAAUAAGGAAAACGAAGCAAUAGACACUUCCGUCUCUCUCUCACACUGCGUCUCCCACAAUCUCAUAAAC